rnacentral:rRNA from 1 species
GCAAGUCGAACGAGCGAGAGAGAGCUUGCUUUCUCGAGCGAGUGGCGAACGGGUGAGUAACGCGUGAGGAACCUGCCUCAAAGAGGGGGACAACAGUUGGAAACGACUGCUAAUACCGCAUAAGCCCACGGGUCGGCAUCGACCAGAGGGAAAAGGAGCAAUCCGCUUUGAGAUGGCCUCGCGUCCGAUUAGCUAGUUGGUGAGGUAACGGCCCACCAAGGCGACGAUCGGUAGCCGGACUGAGAGGUUGAACGGCCACAUUGGGACUGAGACACGGCCCAGACUCCUACGGGAGGCAGCAGUGGGGAAUAUUGCACAAUGGGGGAAACCCUGAUGCAGCGACGCCGCGUGGAGGAAGAAGGUCUUCGGAUUGUAAACUCCUGUUGUUGAGGAAGAUAAUGACGGUACUCAACAAGGAAGUGACGGCUAACUACGUGCCAGCAGCCGCGGUAAAACGUAGGUCACAAGCGUUGUCCGGAAUUACUGGGUGUAAAGGGAGCGCAGGCGGGAAGACAAGUUGGAAGUGAAAUCCAUGGGCUCAACCCAUGAACUGCUUUCAAAACUGUUUUUCUUGAGUAGUGCAGAGGUAGGCGGAAUUCCCGGUGUAGCGGUGGAAUGCGUAGAUAUCGGGAGGAACACCAGUGGCGAAGGCGGCCUACUGGGCACCAACUGACGCUGAGGCUCGAAAGUGUGGGUAGCAAACAGGAUUAGAUACCCUGGUAGUCCACACUGUAAACGAUGAUUACUAGGUGUUGGAGGAUUGACCCCUUCAGUGCCGCAGUUAACACAAUAAGUAAUCCACCUGGGGAGU